GGUAGAUUGGCUCAGUGGUUAGAGCUUAGGUCUUGUAACUGAAAGGUAACGGGAUCGAAUCCCGCUAUAGGCUA
rnacentral:tRNA from 1 species